rnacentral:sRNA from 1 species
UUCAUCAUAUCAGCGGAGCUACUGGUGUU